CAUCUUGCUGUAGCCGACGCCAU
rnacentral:siRNA from 1 species